CCCAUUGUCCUUCUAUUAACUUGUUUUCAAGGCUUUUAUAAGGACAUUCUCAAGUACAGCUCAAAAUUAAAUUCAUGUGCUGUAAUUUCUUGGGAGCAUUGUUCUAGUGGUGUUAGUUUUUCUGAUUAAGUUAUAGUGUUAAACAUCCAAUUUUAUAGAUUAUGUCGAGUCUUACUAGACUAUUGUUAGAAAAAAGAUGUUAUAGAAGUUACUAUUUUAAACUGGAAAAAUCUAGUGAAUGUUUGUGGAUUGGAAAAUUCUGCAUUC
rnacentral:lncRNA from 1 species